rnacentral:lncRNA from 14 species
GGGGGUUUCCUGGCAAAUACAGCUUUCUACUGUAUGGUUAAUUAAAUCAUCACUCAAAUGCCUUCCAAUGUGACGCUUCUGUCGUAAUCCAAUCAGGUUACGUAGGUCCUAAACAAGAAAGAUAUUUUCCACAUCUGGAAGUCAGCAAUUUAGCAAGUACUGCACAUUAUUAACCAAUUCAGAGCCCACUUCCCAGGGGGAUUUUUUUUAAUUUUUUUUUUUUUUUAAGUUUAAGUGUUGUUAACCAGUGCUCUGCUGUUUUCUUCAUCAAAAAGCCGCUUUAUCCCAGACGUAUUUAAGAACUACUAUCGGAGUAGGUGAAGACAGCCCGGGCUGGGGAUGCUGUUUACCCGCACAGGGACACGGCUGAGCCUCGACCCGCUCAUGCCCAGCUCCCGGCCCAGCCCACAGCCGUUUCUUCCCCUAAAAAGAGCUCGAAACAGUCUCAGUGCAAAGAUAAACUUCACAUCUUGCCUACUGGCUCGGUCCUUGCCGAGGUAAACGUGGAGCUGUGUUGAAUAGCUGCGAAACAAUUUCUCUCAUUUGACAAGAGUUAAAUCCAUUACAGAGCUUUAAUUUUAUUUCUUUUUCUUUUCUCCCCCUCCUGAAGAAACCCGAAACAAAUGGUUCAGUGAUCCGACACUACACUUUUACUUACGUUCAGCUGAGAUAAACUGCUCCUGAUCUGUGCGUUGACUGCGCGCCCGAAGCGAGUGCUGGGAUGCAGCGGCUGGCGCUGGCCACCGCGCCCCGUGAUGCGCCCGAAGACAGCACCUUUCUGGUGAUCAAAGAGUGCAAGGGAAGGACGGGGACCCCUCUCGCCCUAACCCAGUGUGUCCUUGCAGCCACCCAGAUUUGGUCGGGAUUGGGUUUCUUGGGGGGCAUCUCUGAGUUAGACGGGAGUAGGUGACCCUGCGUGGUGCGUGAUACCCCAAAGCCCCCCGCCUUGAAGUGGGGAAGAAAUAGCCACCAAGUCCCCCCGAUCCUCCUCCGUGUGUCCCCUUCGGCAACCCCGAGCUGCGGCAGGAGUGGGGGGGAGGCUGCCUGCUCCCUGACUGCGCGGGGCUGCCAGCCACGGAGCAGCUUAAAGCAAAUCUGCCUGCAGACCCGGCGGUCUGCUGCCGCUGAAAUCCCUAAUUAUGCAAAGAGAGUUGGUGAAUUUGCAACAGCAAGAGUGGUAAACUUGAGCAACACUUGGAGCCCAGAGGGCCCAGCUCUGAGCCCAGUGCCCAGACCUGCCAUCUCUUUGGCUCUCAGGGUGGUGGCAACAGCAGCAAACUCUGCAAAACGCCUUUUUCCUGAAUAA